AAUCGAACCUUCUCCAAUAUAGACAGUACUUGGAGGCACUGAGCUCAAUGUUUAGGCUCAUUACUAAAUGUCAGACAACACAAAGACCCUCACGCACACGUUCCUUCUCCCGGCAAAUUAAGUUCAGAACAGCUGCCGCAGUCAUGGCUGUGGAAGCAGACCCUUUGGCUAGGGGCAGUCCUGAAAACAUUUUGAAGCGUAUUUAAUUUCCUUCAUCUUAAUCACAACACUUUCUUAAGCAGUAAAAUUCCCAGAGUGGUGCCCUCGCCCUACUAUAUGUUUAUACAUCACCUGACACAGUAUAAUUGUUAUCUUGAUUAGCAUCUCCUUAUGUUUAACAGAGCUUGCUGUUCUCCUAGAAGGCCAAAUUUCUUCAGCUCCUGUACCACAAUUUGUGGGAGAACACUCACCCUAGCAGCAGUGAUCAGCUCCAGCAGGCUGCGAUGGAGCCUCACAAAGCUCAACCUGUUCCAAGCUGGAAACCAUUCCCUGUUUACAUGCUUUGACCACAUGCACAGAAACAAUCGUGGCCAGGGCGCAGCGCCCUGCUCAGGGCAGCUGGAAGGCUCCAUCCAGCUAGCAGCAUUCAACAGGUCACUGCCCACAGGGCUCCUCUCAGGGCCAGCGCACAUCCGUCCCUGGAUAGCCUUGACAUUUAGCAAGCAACAUUCUUUUCUACUCUCUAUUUAUCAAGUUUUUAGUUUAGCCUCCUUGAAUAACUGCAUUUUGAGGAAAAAGAAGAAAGAUGCUUUAUAACAUACGCAGGGACUUCAAAUCAAAAUGUUACCAGAAAAGAAUUCCCACAGAAGGACGAUAGUUCCCUCAAAGCAUAAAAAACUUCACACAUUUCCAAGCUAGAAUCAACCAAACCGAUCCACGGAACGCGGCCUGGAAUGAAAAAAGAUGGAUUUCCCGUGGCACCUCUCAGCUCUCCCAAGGAAAGCAGCCUGCUCGUGAUUCACACCGCAGCGUGGUGGGGCAGAGGGUGGGGAAGAGGCACACGCUGCUCGCUUACAGCUCAGCAAAGGCGGUGCUGCACUGUGCCAGAGGGUAACACAGUCAGCUCUCUCCUGCCACCAGCGAACCGCGCACCUAACGCCCGCGCUGUGCAGGCGCUGCAAGAAGACACCAGAUGUUAAAGAACAAACGACCCUAUCACCUCAGGGCAGUAAUCGCGGCGCAGACGAGCAAAACCCUCCAGCGUUUGUGCAGGGACAGCAGCGAGGGCGCAGCGACCUCCGUCCCCCCGUCGCCGUGUGUCAGCCCGCGCUGCAGCGCUCCCCAGCCCUUGGGAAAGGGCUUGCAUUUGCACUCCGAGAGUGCUCCCGCUCAUACUACUGCCACCUAUUUACUCCCCGAACUGCGUGAAUUUUGCCUGGGAGUUCUGGAAACGAUUCUGAAGUUCAAGAGAUCAGAGCGUUAUGUUCAUAAAUCAAGGAUGCUGCCGAACUUCCUGCAUGGGAGAACAGAUGUGAACCAAGGGCUUGAGACUCAUCUAAAGGAACGCAGUGGAAAUGCACAGGAUGGAAGGCUCUGAGGGCUUUACAAAUUACAUUUGGAUGGGGGAGAGCAGGGAGAAAGAGAAUGUGGGAAAACGAAGAGUGAAAAAGGAUCCCGCUGUUUAGCUCAUGCAUAAACUGUGUGUGCUCAGCCAAAGGUCACUCCUUUUAUUUUCUCAUUAAUUUCAAUGACAGUGAAUGGUAUAUGAAGAAUGACCUAAAAAUGAGAACUGCCAGAAAUAGCUCAGGUUUUUCUGUGACAAUGCAGAGGAAGAAAAACCUGUGUGGCAACUUUGUUCUGUAUCUUCAGAGUCCUUAAAAAGUAGUGAUUGAACAAAAGUUAAUUAUUUGAGAUGAACCGUAAGUUUAUUUAGGAAACUUAAAUAAAAAUUCAGUCAUCUACUUUGUACGUAUUUGCCAGUAAAGGCUUUAUACCCUCA